rnacentral:rRNA from 2 species
CCUACGGGCGGCUGCAGUGGGGAAUAUUGGGCAAUGGGGGAAACCCUGACCCAGCAACGCCGCGUGAGCGAAGAAGGCCUUCGGGUUGUAAAGCUCUGUCCUCGGGGACGAAGGAUGACGGUACCCGAGAAGAAAGCCACGGCUAACUACGUGCCAGCAGCCGCGGUAAUACGUAGGUGGCAAGCGUUGUCCGGAAUUACUGGGCGUAAAGGGCGAGUAGGCGGUCAUGCAAGUCAGAUGUGAAAGGCGCGGGCUCAACUUGCGCAUUGCAUUUGAAACUGUGUGACUUGAGUGCAGGAGAGGAAAGCGGAAUUCCCAGUGUAGCGGUGAAAUGCGUAGAUAUUGGGAGGAACACCAGUGGCGAAGGCGGCUUUCUGGCCUGUAACUGACGCUGAUGCGCGAAAGCGUGGGGAGCAAACAGGAUUAGAUACCCUGGUAGUC